UACGUAGGGUGCAAGCGUUGUCCGGAAUUAUUGGGCGUAAAGAGCUCGUAGGCGGUCUGUUGCGUCGGCUAGUGAAAACCCGGGGCUCAACUCCGGGCCUGCAGCCGAUACGGGCAGACUAGAGUUCGGCAGGGGAGUGUGGAAUUCCUGGUGGAGCGGUGAAAUGUGUAGAGAUCGGGAGGAACACCGGUGGCGAAGGCGGGUCUACUGGGCAUUCCCUGACGCUGAGGCGCGAAGCGUGGGGAGCAAACGGGAU
rnacentral:rRNA from 1 species